rnacentral:lncRNA from 1 species
GCCGGAGGAUCUUCUUCAAUGUAAAAUGGGAACGAUUGAGUUUUUCCAUACAUGAUGAUUGUCACCAGAAAAUUUUACCAGUAAUACAAGGCCAGUCGGAAUGAUCAGUAGAACUUGAACACUUGCGGCGUUUAUUGCUUGAGAGGUGGCAGUGAUGGAAUUUGAAGAUGUUGCCGUUUGAGCCUUUCUUGCUCUGAUACCAUGAAAGAAAUUAGACUGAAAGAGAAUAGGAAGAACAAGAAAAUGAUAGAAAGAAGUUAAACAAAAUAUUAUUCAAGAUAAGAUAUCUUGAUAUUUUACAGUGGUUGUAUUUAUAGGCUUGAGAAUAGAGCCAUUGGGAUAUUCUUGAUCUAUUUACCGCUGUCCAUCUUAUGAGUGUAAAAUGAUUGUUUCUGAUUGGCUUGGUUUUCCUUUACACUGGGGUGUCCGGUUUCUGUUCAUGGGCGAACCUCUUACUCUGCCGCCAUAAAUCAUUUUUCCCUCAUUCUUUAGUCCGUGAUUCUCAUACUGUUAGCAGUUAAGCUUUCUCGUCGUUUCUCCCGUUCAUUAAGAAAGGUCAUCUUCUCGGCGGCAGAGUGCCCAAAAGGCGGCGGAGAAUGUUUACGUGGAGGAGUCGGGGAACGUCAGUGCUGCUCGGUGAUCGAGGAGGACAAGGUCACGGAGUGAAUCACCCUCGAGGCGGCGGGCGUCAGCUGCCACUCAUUCUGGCAGCUGGAUUGGGUAGAUCAAAAAACAAUCAGAAACAGCACAUUAUGAACUCUUUUUGAUCAUUUAAAGUCAAAGAAAUCUGAAAGAAGUGUUUCAAGUAAAAAAAAAUCUGCUUUCUAAGAACAGCAUCUUCUUAACCCAUAAUCAAGGAAAAUAGAAACACUAAUGCAUCAUAGACCCAUUUAUCUCAGUUGAAAAUAGUUGAAAAAAAGAUAAAAGCAUGACUAAGAGGAACUAUUUUAAAUUCCAAGUUGGUUUUCAAGUAAUAAUGAAGUUAGUUGCCUUUUCUAGCAGCAAUAUGGAUGAACACAUGCAUCCAUGCAUCUUUGCAAGCCCGCCGCUCCCCUCUUUCUACAUUGUUGAAGUUCAUCAAGAUGGACCCGCCCUUGUAAACUGCCGCUUAUGAUCCCCCUCCAUAGGACAAUGUUUUUUUACAUCAGUUAAAACUGCUGCUCGGACCAAAAAACUCACUUGUCUCAAAUUAAAGGGUCAACACUAGAUUUCAUAGUGGAUCAUAAGAUUACAUGACUAACUGGAUGCUAACUGAAGGCAAUAUCUUGAAGUCAUAUAGAUUAAAAUCUGGUUUUCCUUUCCUUCUGGACUGUCGUGGCCCCUUUCAGUGUUCAUGACAUUAGCAAGAUACAGGAAGCCUGAAGGCCAAGAAACAGCCGGCAUAGCCGAAUUUCCAUGAGGGAUGCCCCCAAAAGCCCUAGUUUAAAUGCACCGAACCUUGAGCAGCUGAGCUAGACUCGUGACGGAUAUUUUCAUAGCAAACUUUGGGCCACGAAAAUUCCCCUGGUUAUUGUUUUGAAGCGCAAGGAAAAAAUUAUUUUCUAUGGAGUAAUAAUAUGUAAUGAUGGUCUCCAAAGGCUGGCCCGUGCCAUGUGCAAACCCAGGAAAAGAAUUAUCCCGCAAAAUGACACAAAAAUGGUGACAAGUCACCGUACCAUGCGGAUGUUUGUGACCCAAAUCGGAGGAAUUUUGAAAUUUAAAAUGUUAUAAAAUAAAUGAUAUAUUUGUGGCGUGGAUAAAUGAUCAUGUUCUUGAUAGAACCUUGGCAAUGUCAACUUUGGUCGGCCAAAUAGGGAAUCUUUCACUACUAGCUGCCAAAAGUGACCACCCACGGUUUUCAAUAUGGUGGGCCAGAUGACGCCUUUGCCAAGAAAGAAUGGUCAACUAUUUAUUGGCGCGAUAGUGAUAGGGAGAAGAACCAUGUGAAACCUUGAAAGAAUACGUAUCUCGAUGAGUCAAACUAAAUCUAGAUGGUUUGUCCUUUUGUUUUCAUGAGCAGAGUAGUUUAUGAUGCAGAAUAAUUAUGACAGACACAGAGUUAGAUAACUAAGGUUAAUUUAGGGAUGAAUAAAUCAAGCUUCUAGAAACCACACAAUCGAUUUAAACCUUUAAAUAUGAAGAAAAUAAUGAUGGUACAGCCCUAUUCCUUAGUCAAGGGUGGGAGUACUAUCUUACAACUAUUGUGAUAUAUGAAGCUCCAAAUUCAAAAUCUCAAACAGUUGACCAUGUGAAGACACAAACUUAUUAUACUAAAUCUAAUGGCAGUGGGAAAACACACAAGAAAAAUAUUGUAUGAAAUAAUACGAAUUACCAAAGGAUGAAGAGAAGACCUUCGGCACUAGUGUCACACGAUAGGACAAUGCGGAGAGCCUCAGGUUACAUGCGGAGUGGAGGAUACGUCUAGAUACCUCUCUGAUCAAUCUUCAGCCUUGAAUCAAGCUCUUUGGUAAGGUGAUCGUGGAUCUAACUAGACUAUUGAGUGAUUCCGUGCGCCCUCUCAAUUGAAGAUUCUGAUGUUUUCGUGGCUAGAUGGUGAGGUGAAUUGUAACUCAUGAGAGGUGGUAGAUGUGUGGCUGCGGCAGCUGCAGACGGCCCGAAGGAGGCCUCACAAAGGGGGUUGACCACAGGGAGUCGUGGAUGGAGAUGUCAGCCGGCAGUGGAUGACGACAUGCAAAGGGGAGGUGGACAACGAGAUCAGCGGUGAUGGUAUCUGAA